rnacentral:rRNA from 1 species
UAGGGAAUCUUCGGCAAUGGACGGAAGCCUGACCGAGCAACGCCACGUGAGUGAAGAAGGUUUUCGGAUCGUAAAGCUCUGUUGUAAGAGAAGAACGAGUGUGAGAGUGGAAAGUUCACACUGUGACGGUAUCUUACCAGAAAGGGACGGCUAACUACGUGCCAGCAGCCGCGGUAAUACGUAGGUCCCGAGCGUUGUCCGGAUUUAUUGGGCGUAAAGCGAGCGCAGGCGGUUAGAUAAGUCUGAGGUUAAAGGCUGUGGCUUAACCAUAGUAGGCUUUGGAAACUGUUUAACUUGAGUGCAAGAGGGGAGAGUGGAAUUCCAUGUGUAGCGGUGAAAUGCGUAGAUAUAUGGAGGAACACCGGUGGCGAAAGCGGCUCUCUGGCUUGUAACUGACGCUGAGGCUCGAAAGCGUGGGGAGCAAACAGGAUUAGAUACCCUGGUAGUCCACGCUGUAAACGAUGAGUGCUAGGUGUUAGACCCUUUCCGGGGUUUAGUGCCGUAGCUAACGCAUUAAGCACUCCGCCUGGGGAGUACGACCGCAAGGUUG